GAAACGAAGUGGUUGGCGCAGAGUCCACCAGAUUCUCAGUCACAAGAAGAGGACAGUUCAGUUCCAGGAUUCUGAGUAAAUCAGUAUGACUGAUAAAGAGAACAGAUCCUGAAAAAUGAAGCAUCACCCAGCUGUUAUAUCCCUGCCAUCACCCAGCUCUCCUGGUCUGCAGUUGUCCAACAGGAAGGACAUUGAGCUCCAGAUCUUAGUUCAGGCAAAUGAAGAUUCAGUAAGAAAGUCUUAAAAGUUCAUGCCGAAUUUGGGCCUACUGGAUUUUCUAAUGGCUUUGGACAGCAUUUUGUAACCUCUGCAAUCCUGGAUGGAGCAGAACAGUGAAUCCAGAACAACUACUGAAUGUAAGAAAAAUAUUACUAAUAGAUCCAGAGACGCAUUUGUCAGUGAUAGAUGCCACCAGUAUUAUUUUAUUCCAAUUCAGCAAAAUUAAAUCUUAGUUAACAAGUUAAAAAAAUGGUAUUUGGACUGAAAUAAUGAUGAUAAAUGCAAUCCAAGCGCUCUUCUGAGAAAGGAGUAUGGAGUAUAAAAUAAUAAAUAUUCUACACAAUCUCUGUAGGGUUUUUUCCUACACUUAGAAGUGCCCAGAAACAAAAGACUGUGUACUACUUCUUUCUGAACUAUCUGCAAAUCAUGCAUCUCUGCCAGAAAUUCACCUCUUUGCAUAGCUAAGCCUUUCCAUUAAUGUCUGUCUCUUUGCUGGCAUGGUGGCUGUGCCUUAUAAAAGCACCAAGCAGAAUGAGAAGCACGUCUGCUUGACCCUAUAGUCUAUGCAGAGUUAAGGUCUGCCAUGCCUGAUUGCUCAUUAAUAUUGUACCUUUAUGGCAGCAAGCCUCCUGGCUGACUGGUGAAAAGAUUGUUAGAGGUGCUUCCUGAGGCCAGAGCCAAGAAACAGAGUGGGACAGGUGGAGGUCUGAAAUAAGGACACUUGGAGUCCAUGAAGCGAAAGCCGGUCCUAGCCAAGAUGUGAUCUUAGCCAGUGAACUUGUAGAUGUACAUGGAUUUAGCAGCAGGUAGCCACAGCUUAUGCUGAUAUAGUGUACAGUGCUCAAAGAAACUCAUUUGGUUGAUUUUACUGAAGAAAUUCAUAAAAUGUGCAAAUGCUCUGAGGCGUGCUCAUUUUUGACUGCUGCAAUUCAUAAAAAUUCAUUGCUGUUUCCAGUUCCCAUUUGCUAGCUUUUCCUCUCUGUCUGUGGCCUGUAUGGAGCCACUCUUGCAUACAGUGUCCCUCUCCUGAACAAGAAGUUUUUACCAAAUGUGGUAAUUUAUAAAGAUCAGUUUAACACCCAACAUAAAGGAGUAAGACUGGGACUUGUAAGCACCACUAUCUGAAUAUAUUACUCUUUCCAGAAGUUGGCUUACAUGUAACAGUUUUGGAUUGACCAAACUGUAGAUCUAUAAUUUUAUUUUUUUGCAUAGUAUUUCUUAUGUCCUUGCUCUGAUAGCAGGAUUAACAUUGUUCAUUCUGUUUUUAUGACAACAUCUUCUUACACUGUUAAAAGUCAAGAUUCACUGUUGGAAUUUGAAGUGCAGAACAAUCCCAGUCUGGAUUCCCUUUGAUGUUUAUCUCAUGAAAUCUAUAUAAUUGGUUCAAUGAAACUCAUGAGCCAUUUUGAUUUAAAUCAACUUUGUCUUUGUGUUGAUGUAUAUGACUAUAUAUAUGAUUGUGUUCAACCUGAUCAACAUUAGACUCAGUAGGUACAUGUAUUGUCAAACAAUAAGAUUUUUUAUGUAAAUUCAUUAAUAAAGAAGGUAUAUCUGAUCUGUUCAUACAAAGUGUUAUUCAGUGUCAAAGGCAAUUUCCUCUGUAGCUGAAAUGAUUAUUGCAAUCUUGGAAUGAAUGAAAUCUUAAAUUCAGCACAC